rnacentral:misc_RNA from 1 species
GAAAUGCGAUAAGUAAUGUGAAUUGCAGAAUUCAGUGAAUCAUCGAAUCUUUGAACGCACAUUGCGCCCGCCAGUAUUCUGGCGGGCAUGCCUGUUCGAGCGUCAUUACAACCCUCAGGCCCCCGGGCCUGGCGUUGGGGAUCGGCGGAAGCCCCCUGCGGGCACAACGCCGUCCCCCAAAUACAGUGGCGGUCCCGCCGCAGCUUUCAUUGCGUAGUAGCUAACACCUCGCAACUGGAGAGCGGCGCGGCCACGCCGUAAAACACCCAACUUCUGAAUGUUGACCUCGAAUCAGGUAGGAAUACCCGCUGAACUUAAGC